GUUUUCAGUAGCUGUACCACCGGAGGGUGGGAAAAGAAAUGAAAACAUUAAUUUGGAGAGUUAUUGCCAGAUAUUUGAGGAAACUAGAAUUGAAAGUUUGGUAAGGUCUGGCAAAAUAUGAAAGACAACUGAUCCAGUUUACAGAUAGAUGACAAACCUCCAAGACAAAGAAGGACCAGAGUCAGAUAACUCACAAAGGGAGAGCACAAGGUGGGGAAGACAGAGAGAGUGUGACUGAGGAUCCUCAGUGGGCUCUGCGCUGACGGGAUCACAGGAGCAAGCCCGGUAUGGGGCUCAAACUCAGGAACCACGAGAUCAUGACCUGAGCUGAAGUCAGCCUCUCAACCGACUGAGCCACCCAUCAGCCCCUGAAUGUUUCUCCCCUUUAAUUAAAGUCCCCUGUGCUGAGGUAUUUUCCUUCUACAUGAUUCCAGCUCUUCGCAGAUCUGUUGUAAUUCAGAGAGCCAUACAUCCUUGCCAUUCAGCAUUACUUUCUCCUGCUUCUACUUAUUCAGAGUCCUGUUCUUGUGUUUGCUGAAGCUUGUAGAAUAAAUUAGUUAAAUUGAGUAAA